AUUGAACGCUGGCGGCAGGCCUAACACAUGCAAGUCGAGCGGAUGAAGGGAGCUUGCUCCUGGAUUCAGCGGCGGACGGGUGAGUAAUGCCUAGGAAUCUGCCUGGUAGUGGGGGAUAACGUCCGGAAACGGGCGCUAAUACCGCAUCCGUCCUGAGGGAGAAAGUGGGGGAUCUUCGGACCUCACGCUAUCAGAUGAGCCUAGGUCGGAUUAGCUAGUUGGUGGGGUAAAGGCCUACCAAGGCGACGAUCCGUAACUGGUCUGAGAGGAUGAUCAGUCACACUGGAACUGAGACACGGUCCAGACUCCUACGGGAGGCAGCAGUGGGGAAUAUUGGACGAUGGGCGAAAGCCUGAUCCAGCCAUGCCGCGUGUGUUAAGAAGGUCUUCGGAUUGUAAAGCACUUUAAGUUGGGAGGAAGGGCAGUAAGUUAAUACCUUGCUGUUUUGACGUUACCAACAGAAUAAGCACCGGCUAACUUCGUG
rnacentral:rRNA from 1 species